GGCCGGUAAGCUCAGCUGGUUAGAGCGUGGUGCUAAUAACGCCAAGGUCGCGGGUUCGAUCCCUGUACUGCCCA
rfam:Danio rerio chromosome 4, GRCz11 reference primary assembly.